rnacentral:rRNA from 1 species
UACGGAGGGUGCAAGCGUUAUCCGGAUUCAUUGGGUUUAAAGGGAGCGUAGGUGGCCUUGUAAGUCAGUGGUGAAAUCCUGUCGCUUAACGAUAGAAUUGCCAUUGAUACUGCAGGGCUUGAGUACAGUUGCCGUUGGCGGAAUAUGACAUGUAGUGGUGAAAUACAUAGAUAUGUCAUAGAACACCGAUUGCGAAGGCAGCUGACGAAACUGUAACUGACACUGAGGCUCGAAAGUGUGGGGAUCAAACAGG